rnacentral:rRNA from 1 species
UACGUAGGUGGCAAGCGUUGUCCGGAAUUAUUGGGCGUAAAGCGCGCGCAGGCGGUCCUUUAAGUCAGCUGUGAAAGCCCCGGGCUCAACCUGGGAAUUGCGGUUGAAACUGGCGGACUAGAAUCUGGCAGAGGGGGGUGGAAUUCCACGUGUAGCAGUGAAAUGCGUAGAGAUGUGGAGGAACACCGAUGGCGAAGGCAGCCCCCCUGGGCUGAGAUUGACGCUCAGGCACGAAAGCGUGGGGAGCAAACAGG